ensembl:misc_RNA 7SK 7SK RNA
GGAUGUGAGGGCGAUCUUACUGUGACAUCUGUCACCCCAUUGAUCACCAGGGUUGAUUUGGUUGAUCUGGCUGGCUAGGCGGGUGUUCCCUUCCUCCCUCACCGCUCCAUGUGUGUCCCUCUCAAAGCUGGGCACUGGGUCAAAGAGGACGACCUUCUCCAAAAGAGGGGAGGACUAUUCUUUGGUCAAGGGUACACAAGUAGCUGGGUCCCCUGCUAGAACCUCCAAACAAGCUCUCAGGGUCCAUUUGUAGAAGAACAUAGGGUAGUCACGGUUCCGGGACUCCAGACACAUCCAAAUGAGGCGCUGCAUGUGGCAGUCUGCCUUCAUAA